AAAAAUAAGUCUAUAUAAUUUUGUAAAAAUAUCUACAUUUAUCAUUCAUUUUCUCUUGUAUAUACGAUAAAUCAAAUUGAGAACAUUAUUUGAUCAAAUUAGGAACAUUUUUGCCACAAAUUUCAAGGGGGGGGGGGGGUCGCCUCCCCCAUGAGAAAACCUCAAGGACACUUCACAGACGACAGAACUGAUUUUUAGUCUUGGUUUUCACACUCAUGGUUCUUGCCUGCAGCCUCACAUGUCUUUUUGGCUUUAUCACUAAACAUACCCUUUAAAGGAUAAAUAGACGUUAAAGAAUUAACAUAAAAUCGUCAUAUUUAAAUGUUUCAGGUCGUCUUUACAAUCUCAUUCUUUGUGGGUAACCCUGUACUCCUCAUGGUUGUCAUGUUUGAGGUUAAGCAAAACAAAAGUAUAAAUAUUGGAAGCUGUUUUCUCUAACUAAAACUAAUAGCAACUUCUGUGUUUCAGAGUAUAUUGGAGAAAUCUAGUUCAAAAUUGGUUUUAAGAAUAAACUUUACAAAUCUUGUAAACUAGUGGACAGAGAGAGAGAGACAAGAAAAUACAGCUUUCAGGAUGAGUAAUGAUAGUAUAGUCUGGCUGGAGUGUGGAUUAUGUAGUGCCAAGGUUCGUCAGCUGUUUAAUAACCCAAACCACAGAAAACUCCUCGCAAGACUAAUCUCAACUGAUGUUGAUAAAAUUCCUAACAGAUUAUGUCUGGUGUGUACUGUGAAAACUCAGACUGUGAAUGAGUUCCAAGAGUUUGCCUGCAAGAACCUGAACCUAAAGGCUCCCUAGCUGUCGCUCAGAACUCCAGCUCCCUAGCUAUUAUACUGUCAAGAUUCCUAACCAAUACAGUCUUUAGCUCCCUAGCUAUUAAACUCUCCGGUUCUCCCACUCCUCUCCAAUCUUCCAUGCAGACAGCUCUCAGUUAAUAGCUAACAAUUUCUUCUGUUUUCCCUGUCUGUAAGUUAACCACUUCAAAUCCUCCAGUUUUCCCAUCUCCAUAUGUAAUUGUUAACCACCUCUCCAAAUAGGGUUUUCACGAAACAGUAGAUUCUCUUGCGCAACAGUUUCGUGUUUUUUCACGAAAUGACUUUUUUGCACGAAAUUUCGCAUAAUUUGCGUAUCAAUACGAAACCAGGUUUGCACGAAAUUGCGCAUUCAUUCGAAAUAAUUUUUUUUGCACGAAAUUGCGUAUGAAUACAUAAUAAAAGUCAUAAUUUUUGUAUGAUUUUGCGUUUGAAUACAAAAAUAAGUAAUAUUUGUUUCAUAACAUAUUGCACAAAUAUAAAAGAAUUAGAUAUUUGGACAUCAUGAUGUGAAAAAGUUUUAGUAAACAACAACUUCCAUAUCUGCAGUAUUUUAGUCAUGAACAAUAAUUACAUUAUUAUUAUUUUCUAAAGUUUAGACAUGGUAAAAAUAUUGGUUACCUACUUUUCUUAAAAUUUGUUAUGAUAAAUAUGUUUUGAAAAAACGCUAAAGAGCCAAAGGUCCCACUGGAUUUGCGCCUCAUCUAUGUAUUAAUCUAUAUUAUAGAUAGAUAUGUAAACAUUUUUCAUGUUUGAAUGUCUGUUAGAUACUUAGCUCCGUUGACUUUACCAAAUUGUUGUAAGGUGCAGAUGAUGCGGAUGAGAGCGGGCCUGAGCAUAGUGGGGCUCUGAUUGGACAUACGAAAUAGCUUAAAGUAACGAGAUAUAUCGAAAUGACGAAAUAGCAGGAUUAACGAAAUAGCUUUUGCGCAUCAUUUCGAAAUUAUAUUGAAAUUUCAUGUAAUUUUUACUCAAAAUGUAAGCAAAUUAUUGCACAAUUUUCGUGCAAAACAUUUUGAUUGGAAACCUUAUCUCCAAGUCUACUAUUCCAGUUCCUUGAUCAUAUAGUUAAAUAUCUAUCUCUUCAGAUUCAUGCCUAAUCAUCUACAUUUUAAACUCUUGUUCUCUUAGAUACCUAACUAUCCAGCUCUUGUACAACUAGAUACCUAACUAUCUAGAUAGCGCUUUUAACUCCUAGAAACCUAACUAUCUAGCUCUUGUACUGGCCUAGAUACCUAACUACGUAGCUCUUAUACUCCUAGAAAUCUAACUAUCUAGCUCUUGUACUGGCCUAGAUACCUAACUACGUAGCUCUUAUACUCCUAGAAAUCUAACUAUCUAGCUCUUGUACUUCUAGACACAAAUUUAAUAUUUAUUAUUUAUUAUUUAAAAAUGAAAAAACGACAUUUAAAAAUCUCUUUUCCAAAUGGAGUACCGUUCUGUUUAGCAUGUAUAAUCAUAUGGUGAGGCGGACCAGGUCAACCCCUCCUCCAUAUUCCUGUUAUUUAGUUCCUAUAAAACUGCAACCAUUGUGAAUACGCAUUUGUUAAUUUAAACUUAAAUAAGAAAUAAAUGUUAUUUUGUAUGUUAA